CUUACGGAUAAGCUAGCUCGGUAAAGGAUUAACCGAGUUCAUGGAAGAGUAACUGUUUAUUAUAAACAGAUACAUGGAGAAAAAAGGACUUGAUAGGGAGAUAUCAAGGAUGAAUCUGGACACGCUUAUGGAUUGAGCUAGCUCGGUAAAUGGAUUGCUGAGUUCAUGGAUGAGUACUUACUCACACAGUGGGUUUGAACAGGGAAAAAGGAAUAGUCAAGGAUGAGGCAAGGAGCAAAUUGAACGCAUGGAUGGUGCAGGGAGCACAAUAAAUAGCUGGAUUGCUUAACAAAAGAGAUAAAGGGCGCGACUCCAUGGGAGCCGCGCUUUUUCUUUAUCUG
rnacentral:other from 1 species